ACCCCACCAACCGUCCCAUGACGAGUGCACCCCCACACCGCACCCAUCCCCGAUCCAGAUUCCAUCCACCUCCUCUUCUCUCCUCUGCCACCAGGAGACCCGCCUCCUCCUCUGCCUCUCCGCACCUCUCGCCACUUUGCGCCUCCUCCUCCUCCUCUCUCCUCCCCCCUCUCGCGGACGGGGGAGCGGAGACGUUCCGGGAGGGAGGGGUCGAUGUGUGCCUGGUGGGCGGAGGGGAGGAUGGGGAAUCUGCGUGCCGACCUCGACGAGCAGAUCGAGCAGCUCCUGCAGUGCAAGCCCCUCGUGGAGCCCGAGGUGCCCCUCGUGUCUCCUCCUCCAGGCUGUUUUGAGUCCUGGGUGCUUGAUUUGCGUGUUUCUGGGGCGGGUCAGGGUGGAUUCCGGCAGAUCUGCGGCCGGCAGGCUGGAUGCAUCGAUUUAGAUGACACUUAGAAGGUGCCGCUGGGUUCUACAAGAGCGAGACAGGCGGGUCGUCCAAGCCCGAGUCACAUGGGACGUCCGACUGCCCGCGCGGGGGAGGGGGGUCCAGCAGCAAGUGCACCCGCGCCGCCGAGGUGCACAACCCCUCCAAGAAGUGGAGGAGCAGGAUCAAUGAGAAGAUGAAGGCAUUGCAGAGCCUGAUACCCAAUUCCAACAAGACUGACAAGGCAUCCAUGCUUGACGAGGCCAUACUCAUUGAGUAUCUGAAGCAACUGCAGCUCCAAGUACAGGAUAAUGAGAUGUUGAAGGGGCAGAGUGAAUCCAUGACACUGCAGUGUAGUUGCACCGUUCCGUUGAAUAUUACUCAGGAAUAAGGACAUUUCACUGGCAGAUUAGCUCUAUUUUUCCUUUCAUUUUUCUUUAUUAUUGGAGUGAGAACAAGUAGAAUGAGGAACUGUGUAAUAGUAGACACGACAACUAUGUGAUGGUAGAAUAAGAAUAAGGACAUUUCCAUCGCUAUUGUGUUUUUGGAAUUGUAUGCACAAAUGGAAUUGAUCAAUUUUUUUUAA